UUAUGUGGUGGUGUCAUAGCAAUGCUGACCUGUGCUGUACAUGGGGAUCUUUUUUUCUUUUAUAUGAUGGAUGCUGUAACAGGUCAUUUUGUUCAACAGAAAUCACUGUCUGAUAACAUUAACAUCUUGAGCGAUCUCAUGAAAGUCACUGGCCAAGUGACUUUACACAGUGCCAAGCUGGUUGUCAAGCACAUUCAGGACAUAUCUGCCCUGUUUCCAAAAGAGUCUGUAUCUGGAGUUUUCCAUUCAUUGAAGAAGCAUGUUCUUCAUGCGUUUGUUACUGUUCUGUCUCAUAACUUAAAAGCCUUGCAUCAGUUCUCCAAGGAAGGCAUUCAUCUCACCUCGGACAUCCUUCACACAGUCACAGAUCUGUCACUGGUAAGGCUAACUGGCUCAAGAUUCUAAAAUCAGAUUCUAAACUCUGACAAAUCAAUAUGCCUAUGCUACAGAAUGUUCUAUUUUUUCAUUUUUUGUUUUAAAUCUCAAGCUAACAAGAGGAAUUGUACUCUAGACACAGAGAGAAAAAUAAUGGCAGACUAGCCCGUCUAACCUUUAGUAGCUCAGGAGGAAUAAUCCUUGCCCUUCCAUUUCCAGGUUAUGUGAAAGCAAAUUGAACAGGUUUAUUAGGUUAAUUCACAUUGAAUGUCAGGUCGACUGCUAUGAGUAUCUCUCAUAUCAUGGACUCCUUCGCUCAAUGCAGUCCAUGUGGAGUAGUGCUUUUCAUCUUUCAUCCUUCAUUGUAUUUCAUCCUUCAUCAUACCUAAUUGAAUCUUUUUGGAACACAGAAACACAUCACAUUAAGCAGAUCUUCUGAGUGCUUCCUGAAUACCAGCAUCCUGGAAGUAAAAACAUGGAGAUAUGGACAGUUCCCUACCAAUGGCUUCAGUAUAGGCCCAGUUGCAUUUAACCAUCCUGCGGGAAUGGACACUUUCAUCGGCAGUUUCAGGGGUGGAUCGAAACCCUGUGUAAUAUUUCAGCUCCGAUACUUUAAACUGAAUCCAUAUUACUGGGGCAAAACACCAGUGCAGCUGACCAGAGAUGUUGCUGACAUGAGCCUGUACAACUGCACCACCUGGAGGAAGAUAAGAGUACAGCACUUGGAGUCACCAUUGUCUAUUGAGUUCCAGAGAAAGCCA